GGGGUCGCAACGGUUUCGACUGUGAGAAGAAGGGGAGGCAUAAGCAUACCGGGGCGCUCGGCCUCGUCAAAAACGAGCACCUUAAAUUUAAAUGCUGAUAAUCAUCAACAGUUAGCAUUCGCUGCUUAAUUAAAGCAGUUGUCCGCCUGCGUUUUUCCCGUCGGGCGCAACGCGGGCAUCAUUUCAGGCGGGGAACGACCUUUGCCCAUUGAAAACGGGGCUUUGGCUGAUCUUUUGUUUUCGGCGCCGCAAGAAUAACGCGCCUUACCGUUUCUUGCGGAAGGGGAUAAGUUAAGGCUAAGUAUGUAGAAGGCCUUUCGGUCUUCCCGCAACACGAGGGUUCAACCCCCUCCGGCUCCACCA
rnacentral:tmRNA from 1 species